AAGCCAGGCAUCUAAAAGGAAAACAAUAAGGAAAACGGUCAUAGCUUCGAAAUGUCACAUGGCUUGCUUCCAAAAAAUGAAAUUGAUAUCCUCCAACCCCAAGCUUCUGCACUUUUCUUGUGGUCAGUGUUUUGAUGGUUGGAUAAUUAGGGAAUCACCUAGAUCAAGUGGUGGGCUCAUAACAUGUUGGAACAGACAGCUAGUUCAGGGAUCUCUCCUCUCAUAGGGCA
rnacentral:lncRNA from 1 species